GACGAACGCUGGCGGCGUGCCUAAUACAUGCAAGUAGAACGCUGAAGAGAGGAGCUUGCUCUUCUUGGAUGAGUUGCGAACGGGUGAGUAACGCGUAGGUAACCUGCCUUGUAGCGGGGGAUAACUAUUGGAAACGAUAGCUAAUACCGCAUAACAAUGGAUGACACAUGUCAUUUAUUUGAAAGGGGCAAUUGCUCCACUACAAGAUGGACCUGCGUUGUAUUAGCUAGUAGGUGAGGUAACGGCUCACCUAGGCGACGAUACAUAGCCGACCUGAGAGGGUGAUCGGCCACACUGGGACUGGGACACGGCCCAGACCCCUACGGGAGGCAGCAGUAGGGAAUCUUCGGCAAUGGGGGCAACGCUGACCGAGCAACGCCGCGUGAGUGAAGAAGGUUUUCGGAUCGUAAAGCUCUGUUGUAAGUCAAGAACGAGUGUGAGAGUGGAAAGUUCACACUGUGACGGUAGCUUACCAGAAAGGGACGGCUAACUACGUG
rnacentral:rRNA from 1 species